rnacentral:pre_miRNA from 1 species
UUCCUACUCCCUCCGUUCCAAAUUACUCGUCGUAGAAAUGGAUGUAUCUAGAACUAAAAUACAUCUAGAUACAUCCAUACCUGCGACAAGUAAUUUAGAACGGAGGGAGUAGUUU